rnacentral:rRNA from 1 species
UACGUAGGGUGCGAGCGUUGUCCGGAAUCAUUGGGCGUAAAGAGCUCGUAGGCGGCUCAGUAAGUCGGGUGUGAAACCUCCAGGCUCAACCUGGAGACGCCACCCGAUACUGCUGUGGCUAGAGUCCAGUAGGGGAGUGUGGAAUUCCCGGUGUAGCGGUGAAAUGCGCAGAUAUCGGGAGGAACACCAGCGGCGAAGGCGGCACUCUGGGCUGGUACUGACGCUGAGGAGCGAAAGCGUGGGUAGCAAACAGG